GAAAUGCGAUACUUGGUGUGAAUUGCAGAAUCCCGUGAACCAUCGAGUCUUUGAACGCAAGUUGCGCCCGAGGCCACUUGGCCGAGGGCACGCCUGCCUAGGCGUCACGCCAAACACGCUCCCACCCCUCAUCGGGUGGUGGGAUGCGGCAUGUGGCUCCCCGUCUUGCAAGGGGCGGUGGGCCGAAGAUGCGGCUGCCGGCGUAUCGUGCCGGACACAACGCGUGGUGGGCGAACUCGCUUUACUUACCGCAGUGCAUCCGGCCCAUAGCCGACGUGAUGGCCUUAAGGACCUUAUGAACGGAGUGCAGGACGCUCCGGUCGCGACCCCAGGUCAGGCGGCACUACCCGCUGAAUUUAA
rnacentral:misc_RNA from 1 species